GAUGAACGCUGGCGGCGUGCUUAAUACAUGCAAGUCGAGCGAACAGACGAGGAGUUUGCUCCUCUGACGUUAGCGGCGGACGGGUGAGUAACACGUGGAUAACCUACCUAUAAGACUGGGAUAACUUCGGGAAACCGGCGCUAAUACCGUAUAAUAUAUUGAACCGCAUGGUUCAAUAGUGAAAGACGGUUUUUUUGUCACUUAUAGCUGCAUCUGCGCCGCAUUGGCUAGUUGGUAGGGUAACGGCUUACCAAGGCAACGAUGCGUAGCCGACCUGAGAGGGUGGUCGCCCACACUGGAAGUGAAACGCGGACCAGACUCCUGCGGGAGGCAGCAGAAGGGUAUCUUCCGCAGUGGGCGAGAGCCUGGCGGAGCAGCGCCGCGUGAGUUAUAGAGAUCUUGGGUUCGUAAAGCCCUGUUAUUAGUGAUGAACAAAUGUGUAAGUGACAAUAGACGUCUUGACGGUACCUAAUCAGGAAGCCACGGCUAACUACGUG
rnacentral:rRNA from 1 species